rnacentral:rRNA from 1 species
UACAGAGGUGGCAAGCGUUGUUCGGAAUUACUGGGCGUAAAGCGCGCGCAGGCGGCGGUGCUGGCCCGGCGUGAAAGCCCCCCGGCUCAACCGGGGAGGGUCGUCGGGGACCGCACCGCUUGAGGGCGGUAGGGGCUGGUGGAAUGCCUGGUGUAGUGGUGAAAUGCGUAGAGAUCAGGCGGAACACCCGUGGCGAAGGCGGCCAGCUGGGCCGUCCCUGACGCUGAGGCGCGAAGGCGUGGGGAGCGAACGGG